rnacentral:rRNA from 1 species
AUUGAACGCUGGCGGCAGGCCUAACACAUGCAAGUCGAACGAGUGGCGGACGGGUGAGUAAUGUCUGGGAAACUGCCUGAUGGAGGGGGAUAACUACUGGAAACGGUAGCUAAUACCGCAUACCAUCAGAUGUGCCCAGAUGGGAUUAGCUAGUAGGUGGGGUAAAGGCUCACCAAGGCGACGAUCCCUAGCUGGUCUGAGAGGAUGACCAGCCACACUGUGACUGAGACACGGUCCAGACUCCUACGGGAGGCAGCAGUGGGGAAUAUUGCACAAUGGGGGAAAGCCUGAUGCAGCCAUGCCGCGUGUGUGAAGAAGGCCUUCGGGUUGUAAAGCACUUUCAGCGGGGAAGCGUUACCCGCAGAAGAAGCACCGGCUAACUCCGUGCCAGCAGCCGCGGUAAUUC